rnacentral:rRNA from 1 species
UACAGAGGGUGUAAGCGUUAAUCGGAAUAACUGGGCGUAAAGCGCGCGCAGGCGGGCAAUUAAGUCAAAUGUGAAAUCCCCGAGCUUAACUUGGGAAUUGCAUUCGAUACUGGUUGGCUAGAGUGUGGGAGAGGAUGGUAGAAUUCCAGGUGUAGCGGUGAAAUGCGUAGAGAUCUGGAGGAAUACCGAUGGCGAAGGCAGCCAUCUGGCCUAACACUGACGCUGAGGCGCGAAAGCAUGGGGAGCAAACAGG